UACGUAGGGUGCAAGCGUUAUCCGGAAUUAUUGGGCGUAAAGAGCUCGUAGGCGGUCUGUUACGUCCGCUGUGAAAACCCAGGGCUUAACCCUGGGCUUGCAGUGGAUACGGGCAGACUAGAGGCAGGUAGGGGAGAAUGGAAUUCCCGGUGUAGCGGUGAAAUGCGCAGAUAUCGGGAGGAACACCGGUGGCGAAGGCGGUUCUCUGGGCCUGACCUGACGCUGAGGAGCGAAAGCGUGGGGAGCGAACAGG
rnacentral:rRNA from 1 species